rnacentral:rRNA from 1 species
GAUGAACGCUGGCGGCGUGCCUAAUACAUGCAAGUCGAGCGAACAGACGAGGAGCUUGCUCCUCUGACGUUAGCGGCGGACGGGUGAGUAACACGUGGAUAACCUACCUAUAAGACUGGGAUAACUUCGGGAAACCGGAGCUAAUACCGGAUAAUAUAUUGAACCGCAUGGUUCAAUAGUGAAAGACGGUUUUGCUGUCACUUAUAGAUGGAUCCGCGCCGCAUUAGCUAGUUGGUAAGGUAACGGCUUACCAAGGCAACGAUGCGUAGCCGACCUGAGAGGGUGAUCGGCCACACGGGAACGUGGACACGGUCAAGGCUCCUAAGGGAGGGAGCAGUAGGGAAUCUUCCGCAAUGGGCGAAAGCCUGACGGAGCAACGCCGCGUGAGUGAUGAAGGUCUUCGGAGCGUAAAACUCUGUUAUUAGGGAAGAACAAAUGUGUAAGUAACUAUGCACGUCGUGACGGUACCUAAUCAGAAAGCCACGGCUAACUACGUG